CGCUCGUCGCUCGCCUCGUGGCGCUCCGGGGACGAGCAGCUUCGCGCCCUACAGUCGCUCCUGGACCAAACACUGAUGGAGUCCUGUGUGGGCACGCUCCUCCAGGUGCUGGGCACAGCGGGAGGAGACCCUAGCCCCGCGUCCCGUAUGGUUCAGACACCGGAAACCACCAGCGCUGUCGGCCACCACACCGCGCGAUGUGUGAAAAGCUGACUCCCGCUAUGAUGAAAGAUAAAGCAGGGUGCCAGGAUGUGCAGAGUUGCUGGGAUGGUCUUCUGAACGUUUCCAAGCCGAGGGCAGCCCUGGGCAGGCACGGGUGUCGUGGUCAGACCCUUGGCCCUCAGGAUCGGAGCCCCUACUACCUGUCUCUUAAGGACCACCUCUGGAAACUUUCUUAAGGAAGAUGGUGACGGAUUUGGCUUUUCUGUACAUUUCUGCCACUUAAGCUAAGGCCACUAAAGGAGUCAAUGCCAAGGACCCACUUGUGGUGCCCAGCGACAUGCCCUCCCAGAAGUGGGGGCACCUAGUAGAGCCCCCAGCCUGUCUGCAGGGCCUGCUUCUCUGCUGGGGGUUUCCAAUCCACUCUGAAAAUCUGCUGGUCGGGGAGCACGCCUGGAGCAGCCUCCAGGCAUGCAGGGGCCAGGAUGUCUGCAACAGGCCCUCUCCCAGACAGUGGGGGUUGAUGGCUGGAGCUGGGUCUGCAGUUGUCAGCACAGCGUCAGGGAGAGGCAGCCUUAGCUGUGGCCUUACAUGGACUUGGACUCCCGUUUGGAGAAAGCCUGUCCUAAAGGUCACUGUGGUGUACUGAGGGUCACACCCAGUAGGCUUGGCAGGCAGGUUCUGCAGGAGACAGCGAGGUUGUGGGUGGCCUUAGGGUUGAGAACCAGUGGAGCUGAUUGGCUGCCACAGGGCAAUGACUUGCUGUGGGUGACCCCCAGUGUUCUCAGCCAACCCACAAGAGUACCUUUGCACUGGGGGUGAGCAGAACUCGGAGGUCAGGAGGAGCUCCAGUGCCAUCCCCCAAUGCAGCCUGGCCCUACAGAGACAGUGAUGAAGGCUGCCUCUGCAGUUACAUCAAGCAGGGUCCUGUCUCACCCUGCCGGGGCAACUGGCCUGACCUGGCUUGGUCCUGCCCUGCCAUGGCGUGGAUGUGUGUGUUUUGGGGGGGGGAGCUGGGCCUCUCCUUAGCUCAGCAUAGCUCACAUCAUUGUUUUCAAAGUGCAGCUUAAAGCUCCAAAGUAAACUUUUCAGCAAC